rnacentral:snRNA from 1 species
UUUCUACCGGGGUUGACCGGA